rnacentral:rRNA from 1 species
UACGUAGGGUGCGAGCGUUGUCCGGAAUUAUUGGGCGUAAAGAGCUUGUAGGCGGUUUGUCGCGUCUGCUGUGAAAUCUCAAGGCUCAACCUUGAGCUUGCAGUGGGUACGGGCAGACUAGAGUGUGGUAGGGGAGGCUGGAAUUCCUGGUGUAGCGGUGGAAUGCGCAGAUAUCAGGAGGAACACCAAUGGCGAAGGCAGAUCUCUGGGCCGUAACUGACGCUGGAGGAGCGGAAAAGCAUGGGGAGCGAACAGG